rnacentral:tRNA from 1 species
AUUUAAGUAGUUUAAGAAAAAUUUCGAUUUGUGAUAUCGAAGAUAUAUUUUUAUAUUUUAAAUA